GACUCUCGGCAACGGAUAUCUCGGCUCUCGCAUCGAUGAAGAACGUAGCAAAAUGCGAUACCUGGUGUGAAUUGCAGAAUCCCGCGAACCAUCGAGUUUUUGAACGCAAGUUGCGCCCGAGGCCUUCUGGUUGAGGGCACGCCUGCCUGGGCGUCA
rnacentral:rRNA from 2 species